ACAGGAUGAAGUAUUGACUCCAUCAGUUUUUUUAAACACGUAAAUAUGAAUUUUGUCUCAUUUAUUUUGCCUGAAAGAAUUCCCCACAGAUCCUCGAUCGAAUUAAAAUCUGGACCUACUACAUAAGUGGCCUACAACGCCUUUGCCUACUUAGCUACAUGGAUCGGUGCAUUGGAAAUUUCAUUCAUCACCAUGCAAAUGACAAGCAAAAUCAGGGAGUUCGCUCCUCAACAGCGUAAAUUUCUUCUUUAAUUUUGCCUGCUUCAAAGUAUAUUUGGGACUUUCGUUUUGAUGAAAAUUCUACUCAUACCAUUUGUGAUUCACCACAAUGGAGGCGUUUAUGGCAUACCUCUCAUAGGCAUAUGAAAUCUCUUCAAUAUUUAUGAAGACCACCGGUUUGCAUUUUUAUGACGUUGCUUAAGGCGUCGCCUGGCACUCCAUUUUCAUAUUCAAGGUACAUAUUUGACGUGAGCAUGCAGCAAGUCAAGACAGAGCUAGAGAAACUUCUGCCCAAGCUGAUGCUCAGUGUCAGGAAAAUGGGAUUCGCACAGCUUCUCAUCGUGCAUUAGAGACACCUGAAUAGUCAGCUUUUCGGCGUCUAGAGAACGUAAUAUGUAUGGUCACUCAGCGGUCCACUCAAACACCUGAUGAAGCUAUUCCGCAACACAAAAAAUAUAGGAAAGAGAUUUGUUGCUUCGUUAAGGAGCCCUUAUAAAACAUUUAAAACAAUGAAAAUUAAAUUAAUUUGUGAA